AUUAAUAGUAUUACCCUGAACAAGCCCAAUCCCAUCUGAUCUUGGAAGCUAAGCAGGAUCAGGCUUAGUACUUGGAUGGGAGACCACCUAGGAAGACCAGGUGCUGUAGGCG
rnacentral:rRNA from 1 species